UACGUAGGGUGCGAGCGUUGUCCGGAAUUAUUGGGCGUAAAGAGCUUGUAGGCGGUUUGUCGCGUCUGCCGUGAAAAUCCGGGGCUCAACCCCGGACUUGCGGUGGGUACGGGCAGACUAGAGUGUGGUAGGGGAGACUGGAAUUCCUGGUGUAGCGGUGAAAUGCACAGAUAUCAGGAGGAACACCGAUGGCGAAGGCAGGUCUCUGGGCCACUACUGACGCUGAGAAGCGAAAGCGUGGGGAGCGAACAGG
rnacentral:rRNA from 1 species